UCUCUAUACGUCUUAGUACCUCCCGGAUGAACUGUAUAACCGGUCUGAUGUGCCUCCUGAAGUAUUUCAUACUUGAGUGCUGAAUCAUUGGGUACGCAAAUCCUGUUGUCGAACCUUAACGAACCGUCUUCAUGUAUCUUGAAUUCAGAUUGAACACCAGCUUCCACAGAAUUUCUUAUUUUCAUUAGUUGUGGAUCAUUAUUCUGGGCAACUGUAAUUCUUUCAAUGAGUGUUGGCUAAACCCUCAUGUUGGCUAACCAUACUGUUGAGUCAUAUUUUCGGAUGUCUAAUUCCAAUUUCCUUAUAUCCUUUAACAAUUGACUUUGGUGUGUGAUUAAAACCGCCAAAUUUCCCACAGAUUUUCUACUAAGGGCAUCAGCAACAACAUUAGCUUUUCCCG
rnacentral:lncRNA from 1 species